AUGCCAGAAGCAAUAAAUAAAUGAAUCUUUUUAUUGUUUAUUUUAUAGAUCGGCUGUACUUUGCUACACUCCGAGGCAGACCACGAUCAAAGCCUAAUGUUCACUAUUUUUCUAUUGAUGAUGAACUCGUUUAUGAAAAUUUUUAUAUGGACUUUGGUCCUUUAAACCUUGGAAUGCUCUACCGGUACUGCUGUAAACUAAACAAAAAGCUCAAGUCUACCAACCUUAGCAGAAAGAAGAUAAUCCACUACACCAGUUUAGAUGGUCGCAAGAGAGUGAAUGCUGCUUUUCUUAUAGGUUCUUAUGCGAUUAUAUAUCUGAAGAUGACACCAGAAGAAGCAUAUAAACCUUUAGUUAGCAACAGUUCAAAUCCCACAUUUAUUCCAUUCAGAGAUGCUUCCUUUGGAUCAAACAGUUUUGAUCUCCAUUUACUUGACUGUCUUCAGGCUGUUAGUAAGGCUCUUAUGAAUGGUUUCUUUAACUUUGAAACAUUUGAUGUGGAUGAAUAUGAAUAUUAUGAGAAAGUGGAAAAUGGUGAUUUAAACUGGAUAAUUCCAAAUAAAUACUUAGCUUUCUGUGGACCUCAUUCAAAGCAAGCUCGAGAAGAUGUUUUCAAGUUCAUCCCUAACUUUCAGUUGCCAUUGGCUCCAAUCUUGAGACCAUUGGGGUUAGGCUUCAUUUCGAAAAUUCCUUGUGUUCGGCACAUUAUGAUAAAGGUUCAGACUCUGGGAAGUCCUGAAGGUUACCCUGUUCAUUCUCCUGAAGCCUAUCUGCCAUACUUUAGAGAACAUAAUAUUACUGCUGUUGUCCGCCUGAACAAGAAAAUUUAUGACGCCAAACGUUUUACUGAUGCUGGUUUAGAUCAUUAUGAUCUUUUCUUCGUUGAUGGAAGUGUUCCAACUGAUAAUAUUGUGAGGAAAUUCUUGGAAAUUAGUGAAAAAUGUGAUGGUGGCCUUGCUGUACACUGUAAAGCUGGUUUGGGUCGGACAGGAACCUUAAUAGCUUGUUACAUUAUGAAGCAUUAUAGAUUCUCUGCAGCAGAAUCUAUAGCAUGGUUACGGGUCUGCAGGCCUGGCUCUGUAAUAGGACCACAGCAGAAUUUCCUGAUUGAAAAACAAGAUUGGUUAUGGUUGCAAGGAGAUCUUUAUCGUAGUAAAGUGAAAGACUAUGACAAAGUUUAUGAAAAUAACUGUGUCUCCAAGAUUAUGUCUGCUGUUGAUGGUAUGAAGCUACAUGAUGUUGGUAUAUCUGGUUUUGAAAACGACAGCAAAUCACUUGAUGUUUAUGAAGAUGAUGAAAAUGGAAAUCAGAAAUAUUCUUCAAAAAGUAGAAGUAAGCUUAGUACCCAAGGAGAUAAACUGAACCAAAUAAAGGCUCAACGCAAACACACUCGGGCAACUACAACUGCUACUAUUUCUUCCAGUGAAACGAAAGUACAUAAGCGGCCAUCAAGCCAGUCAUUCAAAGCAUUUGGUCUGAAGAAUUCACAAGGCUUUGUAUCUCCAUUAAAAACCUCAAGAGUUGCUGCUGUCAAUGCCAAUAAUUUGGUUAAUUCAGCAGUUGUGUCUUCAUGCAGUACCACGAAUAAACGACUGACCCGUUUAUCAACACCAACAUCUCAGAAUCACAGUGCCAAAAGUAAAUGGCGCAACAAAACAGGGAUGCUGACUCGAAGUGCUGCGAGAGACAUUUAUAAGACAGCUGACAAAGUUGGUGAUCUUAAAUGGCCAUGCAAAAAUAUGUACCAAACUUCUAGGGAUAUAGAGCCAAUCUUCACCAAGCCUUCGUACUUCCGUUAAAAAUCUGUUGGUGCCACCACAUCGAGAAUGUCAGGCUGUUAUCAACUAGUCCAACGUUUUAUAUAUAUAUAUAUAUAUAUAUAUAUAUAUAUAUAUAUAUAUAUAUAUUCCAGAAGUUUUGAGUCUUUUUCAGGAGAGACAUUCAUCAAUUUCAAACAAGUACAAAACUCUAAUUUCCUUCAAAAUAGAAUCCUUUAACUUCAAUGCACUCCAUCCACUUUGUAAAGACUCCAUGGAUGUCUGCCAAAGUGAAGGUGUCUAGGACCUUUGUCAUAACUUUCUUCAGCUUAGGGAGCAAGGUCUAGACUGUAGGAAGGGUGAGAGAUAGUUUCAGUGGCCAUCUCUGUCAAGUAGUUGGUUACCAGAAUGGAAAUGUCUAUCAAUGCAUUGUUUUGGUACAGGUGCUCUGGCCCUUCAUGACAAAAUCACUUCCUGAAUUUCCUCAAAACUGCUACAAAGUAGUCUUUACUGAUCGUUUGGCCAGAGGGAACCCAGUAGAUGUAGAUGAUACCUUUAUUCUCAAAAAAAGGUUCAUAUUGAUCCUCCUGGUGGACUUGCUUUGUUUGGCCGCUUUUGCUAGUAAGAAACAGACGCUCAGCUUAUACAAGUUAAUCCAUGACCAGUCUGGAGCAUUUCAUAAGUUUCUGUAGUGUUUUUGGCCUGUUUAACAAACCUUUAUAGCAUAGCAAGCUUCCAAAUUGUCUUGAUGUCCCAACUACAUUCUGCAGACUAAUCUGCUGUGACAAGCAAUGUUUAGUAAGUGCUGUUAUAAGAAAUUAUAAAUUGGGAAAUUAUAAAUUAAAGCAUGAAUUCAAAUUCUCUUUACUACCAAACAAUAAAUUAUGCCACAGUGAUUGAAAUUAAUAAAGUUGGCUCAUUACUAUUGUAUAUACUAAUAAUAAAUUCCUAAUGUAUAUACAAGAAGAGUCCUAUUAAAUUUCACAUACAUAUAGAUAAAUAAUUGUGUUAAUCUAGUUUAAUAUAAUUUCUUUUUUGAAGUUAUAACUUCUUUAUCUUUAUUUCCUUAUAAAGUUCUGUUGAACUUUAUGCUAGAAGAAUAAAGAGUGGGGUAAAGUUAGUGUACGAAGAGGAUGGGAUGAAAGAUAGAGGAAAUGAGAGAUAAUUUGAUGACACUGCGGAAGGUAGGGGAUGAUCAUUGUAAAUAUGGGUGGAGAUCAAAAUUAAUAGAUGAAUGAUGGAUAAUGAGGGAACUGGUUCUGGCAGUAAGAAAAGUGGUAUCAAAGAGAAACUAAAGUUAGCAAAGUGAUGGCUGAAGAGUUAGCCGAAAGGGAAUUGGGAAGAAUUGUGCUUAUACACACACACACACUCAGUUCUCUGGAGCUCAGUUACACUGAUGUGGGCUGGUCUUCUCAAAAACUGCAUAUUAAGUAGCCAUCUUGGUCCUUUGUGUUUUUCUCUGUGAGGUUGAACGUCAUGAGAUUGGUCUUUACCACCUUGUCCUUUGUCUUCCUCUGUGCGUGUCUCUCUCUCUUCCACAAGUUCCAUCCACCUUUAGUGAUUGAUAGUUCUUUAUACAGUUGUCCUUAUCCAUGUGCAUCUCAUAUCCAUAGCAAGGAAGAUGUCAUUGUCAUUAGCAGAUGUAUUGACUCCGUGAACUUUCAAUAACCUGUUCUUACUCUGGCUACUAUAUUCUUAGAGCAACCAUCUCCCUUGCUAAUUACAUCUCCUUGGUAAUGAAAAGUAUCAACUACUUCUAGUGAACCAUUUGGGUAUUUAAGAGAAACUAUUUCCAGUGUGCUCCUACACACUGUUCCAAUACAUCUGUCACAUACAAAGCUUACAUUCUUCAAUAGCCUGCCUGUAAUUCCAUAACAUCUCUUGUGUGUUCAUAGCUUGCAUUAGCUACAGCAUAUGCAGUUUAUACCUACUCCUUUUCUGUAAGCUGAACAAAGCUAUUUGCCUGAAGGUACCAAGGUCUUGUCUUCUUUCCUAUUUACUAAGACCAUUGUGUUUGCUAGGUUUACCUUAAGAAUUCUCAAUUCUAAGUUAGUUUCCAUACCUGGAAUUUCCUUUCUAAUUUCCUCAUAGACUCAGCUAUGAGAACUAGAUCAUUAUAUAGGAGUGUGAUGACCUAUAGGCCUAUGAUGAAUUGGAGAGGGCUGAGAACUGAAACUUUAUGGACUCCUACUUUCAUACUAAAUCUGUCACUGAAAUCAUUGCUGACACUCACUUACUGCAUCCUUGUACACAAUUUGUAUCAUCCUCAAAACCAUUCCUCUCCCACUAGUUUCCUCAGUGACCAGUAAAUUCUUAAGCAUGGUAUCUUGUCAAAAGUUUUCUUCAAUUUAACAAAAUUCAAGAAUAGUGGUUUAUUCUUAGCCAAGUAUUUCUCCAACAAUUACCUAAGUAGGAAAAUUGCAUCUGUGGUGCCUCUUCAAGAGGUACAACCAAACUGCAUCUCAUUUAGGUCUACACUGUCAUGAAUCAGUUGGGCUAUGACUCUCUCCAAGACCUUCAUAACCUUGUCCUGUAGUUUUAUUAAUCUAGAGUUGCUUCUCUCUAAGGCAUCUCCUUUGGCCUUGUAGUAGUUUAUGAUGAUGCUGCUACACCAGCCAUUGGGUAUGACACCUUCCUAAAUGACUUGAACCCAGGUGGUAACCUUGUAUCCUACCUCUCCAACUAUUUUAAGUAUCCCUGAUUAGACCCAUAGAUUUCCCUCUCUUUAUAUCUUUGUUUAUUUAAUCUAUCACGCUGCUGUCAAUUUGAAUUACUGGUCCUUCUACUGAGUCAGCAUUU
rnacentral:misc_RNA from 1 species